CUCCCCGUGCUCGACGGCUGUAAUAAGACGACGAUGGCUAAUUUAUGCAAUUUGCAAGCGAUUGCCGACCGCGGCUUUGUUCUUUUCAUCGUCCGACGUAGACUCACCGCAUAUCGGUUUAUAGCCGCGAUAGCAUUUCCAGUAGUAAGGAACGAAGUACUCCAAGAACAUCGGGCAGUCGGUUGCCUCGUAGCACCAAUCGUGCAUCUUACAACAUCUGUGGAUAAGAGAAUUUUUUUUAUUUUAUGUCACAUUCACCCGUUUCUUUUUUUUUUCAUUUAUCUUUCGAAGGUGAGAAGCAGAAAAUUCAACGUAUCUAUAUUGCUGUCGCGUAUCACAUUUCACCUCAGGCAUGAAGCUUGUUAGUGGAAGCAUCGUCCCUUCUCUCUUUAAUCACGUCCCCCGCACGGUCGAGAAGCGAAAAGUUUCUCACAGUUUUUGACGAGAAAAACGUGCGGGCUGCAGAUUUUCUAACGCUAGUAAUACCAACGAACAGUUUCCUCAAUAUCUAUGCAGAAGUAAAAAGUAUAGACUCGAGGUGAAAUGUACUCGAAAGAGAAAAUCGAGGAGUGUUUAUUUCCUCGUAGACUCACCUGUCAAUACCGUCUAUGGAAAAUCCUGAUCCUAAAAAACCGCAGUAACAUCCGUAUCCCUUCUUCGGAAUCGAGUCUGAGAAUAUCGGUUUUCGUAAUUUUAUACAUCGAGGCCUAAAGGACGAACGGGCCCGAGAACAUCGGAAUUGGAUUGAAAAUAAACAAGACACCAGAGUUUAAUCAUUUUGAACAUACAAUUGUAAUUAGAAACCUUUUCUCGAGUUGUUCAUCGUGAAAAUUUUAAAUUGCUGAUUCAAUACGGCGGACAAGGAAAAGCGACAAUAGGGAAAAUUUUGAAAAAAUUCUGUAAAGUAUUUCGGUGUGUAUUAAGCUUGUGUAAAAAUUGGCAUUCGAAUUUUCGUGGUAGAUUGGUAUGGAAUUCAUUUUUUCGUGGAAGAGUACGAGUUUCGACCAUUUGUUUACAUGCGCUGUUUUUUCAAUAGAUAAAUAAAUAAAUUUUGUAUUUUUUUAAACUUGGCAAUAUUUCAGAGACCAUGUGGAACCAAAAAACUUGGCCGUUAUUACCAAAAAAAGUAGUUUAAUGGAUAGAAAGCUGUAGGAAAAAAAGUGGGACGCUGGGCUCAUAUGAAUAUCGCUAGAAGAACUACAUCAGUGAAUUGUAUCCCUUGUUUGUAAAAUCCCAAUGUACCAGUGCGAUAAAUCGAAAUCGAAAUCGAGGGCGAAUCAAAGGGUUAACUCUCGUUCAGAUUUUUACUCGACGGUAUUUUUUCUCCUUUUCCAAAGCGUUAAUCAGCAACACUCUUAUCGGACACGGCGACCACGUCUGUUUGAAAUUUCCAUCCUCCGUGAGGUCCCCAUUUUUCCACUAACCCGGGAACACGGCUGCCACCCAGCCAUCUGACGAAUGCGCUUGUAUUUUUUACUCACUCGGUCUCCGUUUUAUUCGAGACGUUUCUUGAUGCCGGGGCACUUUGUGUCUGCCAGGAAAAACGCGCGUGACGCUCCUUCGCGGCGUGAGUGGUUGCCGAGGACGUGCCCCAUGGGUCACCCCCGUACCCCAGGUACACCGAUUCCGACGAUCCUGCAGGGCCGAAUCCGGGCGGCCAGGAAUACGCCCGUCUCACCGGGACACAGGGGUCCACCCCUGAAACGAUGAAACAGCAACGAACCUUCGAUAAUUUCCUCGAAUAAGCAAAGUUCUCUUUUCGAAGGUUAAAAAUAAAGAAUAAGAAUUUUUGUCUCUUCAAGCACUGCGUGUUGUGAGAAUGUAUUGUUAACAACGGGGAAAAUUAAGAAAGGACUGAGAGAAUCAAUGGGUUCUCUGUGCGAAUUGAGCGAACGCCGAGCGAAAGAAAUCUCACAAAACGAGGAAUAUUUUAGAAAGAAAGUGGAUGUAUUUGGUCACGAAGUUCGAUUUUUAAAGUCUAGAGACUGACUGUUUUUACAAUAAUAUUUGUUGACCAGCAACCCUAUUCAUUUUAAGACGUAUGAAAGCUUUUAGUUUAAGAUGCCUACUAGAUCAUUAGAAAGACGAUAACACGGGUGAUUGAUGAUUUCACCCUUUAUAACAGUAUUGUGUAGAUGAUAUGUUAACCCUUUUUGAAUUCUUGCUUCUGAUGAGAAGCCACGCAAAACGGGCAAAGCCGUCUA
rnacentral:lncRNA from 1 species